UACGAAGGGGGCUAGCGUUGUUCGGAAUUACUGGGCGUAAAGCGCACGUAGGCGGAUAUUUAAGUCAGGGGUGAAAUCCCAGAGCUCAACUCUGGAACUGCCUUUGAUACUGGGUGUCUUGAGUAUGGAAGAGGUGAGUGGAAUUCCGAGUGUAGAGGUGAAAUUCGUAGAUAUUCGGAGGAACACCAGUGGCGAAGGCGGCUCACUGGUCCAUUACUGACGCUGAGGUGCGAAAGCGUGGGGAGCAAACAGG
rnacentral:rRNA from 1 species